rnacentral:ncRNA from 1 species
ACUGUCUGCUUUAGCCCAACUUACACAUGCAAGUAUCCGCACCCCCGUGAGAAUGCCCUUUAGUCCCCCGCCCGGGGACAAGGAGCAGGUAUCAGGCACUCCUAACCCAGCCCACGACACCUUGCUUAGCCACACCCCCAAGGGAGUCCAGCAGUGAUAAACAUUAAGCAAUAAGUGAAAACUUGACUUAGUUAAGGCUAAGAGGGCCGGUAAAACUCGUGCCAGCAACCGCGGCUAUACGAGAGGCCCAAGUUGACAGACUCCGGCAUAAAGCGUGGUUAAGAUUAAAUUAUACACUAAAGCCGAACGCCCUCCGGGCUGUUAUACGCUCCCGAAGGUAAGAAGCCCAAUUACGAAAGUAGCUUUACAUCACUGAACCCACGAAAGCUAGGGCACAAACUGGGAUUAGAUACCCCACUAUGCCUAGCCCUAAACAUUGACAGCCACCUAUACCUGCUGUCCGCCUGGGAACUACGAGCAUCAGCUUAAAACCCAAAGGACUUGGCGGUGCUUUAGAUCCACCUAGAGGAGCCUGUUCUGGAACCGAUAACCCCCGUUCAACCUCACCCUUCCUUGUUUUACCCGCCUAUAUACCGCCGUCGUCAGCAUACCCUGCAAAGGACCAACAGUAGGCAAAACUAGCACAGCCCCAGACGUCAGGUCGAGGUGUAGCAAAUGGAAGGGGAAGAAAUGGGCUACAUUCCCUCUACACAGGGCAUACGAACGACUAUACUGAAAUGUAUAUCCGAAGGAGGAUUUAGCAGUAAGUAGGAAGUAGAGCGUCCUGCUGAAACCGGCCCUGAAGCGCGCACACACCGCCCGUCACUCUCCCCGAAACUGUUUACCCCAAUAACUAAUACCCUAUUUUUAUAAAGGGGAGGCA